CUACGGGUGGCUGCAGUGAGGAAUAUUGGACAAUGGUCGAAAGACUGAUCCAGCCAUGCCGCGUGCAGGAUGACUGCCCUAUGGGUUGUAAACUGCUUUUAUACGGGAAGAAAAACACCUACGUGUAGGUGACUGACGGUACCGUAAGAAUAAGGACCGGCUAACUCCGUGCCAGCAGCCGCGGUAAUACGGAGGGUCCAAGCGUUAUCCGGAAUCAUUGGGUUUAAAGGGUCCGUAGGCGGGCUAUUAAGUCAGAGGUGAAAGUUUGCAGCUCAACUGUAAAAUUGCCUUUGAUACUGAUAGUCUUGAAUUGUAGUGAAGUGGUUAGAAUAUGUGGUGUAGCGGUGACAUGCAUAGAUAUCACAUAGAAUACCGAUUGCGAAGGCAGAUCACUAACUAUAUAUUGACGCUGAGGGACGAAAGCGUGGGGAGCGAACGGGAUUAGAUACCCUUGUAGUC
rnacentral:rRNA from 1 species